AUCAUUUUAACCCCAAUAUAUCUCCUUUUGUUGAUCCUUGACGGAUUAGUGCUAGUGCGAAAAUUCUUCCGUUAUAUACGCAAAAUAGUCUCUUGUGAGUCAUGAAACUUUCAUACCGUCUCAUUACCUGACAUUCUGAAAUAGGAUCCGGAAUAAUUGACCAAAAUGGCCUAGCCUACCUUGGCCACAGGGGUUCAGAAACAAUCGAAGUGAGUAGAAGCGCGCACUGGUUUUGCAAUCAAGUGUACGGGCUCAUGGAUGGUCUUCUUUUGCCACUAUUUUGAGAGAAGUAAGACCUGUUGAUGCACGAUCGAUCCAUCUGAUGUCGGAUUGCGUUUCUCGAUUUGGCCAGGACAUCAAUCUGGAUAUCCGGUCCUGAUAAUCUUCCGCACUCUCGGACGCAUGUUUGUGCAAGUCUUUAAUUGUUGGCCGUUCCUGAAACAAGUCCAGGUGAGCUUGUAUAUCUCCAGGUGCGAGUAGUUCAAAGGUUCGUUGCAGAUAAUACGUUGCAGCCUGUCAUUAAUCAAUUGCGCAUCGUCUUCGUCGGACGGCGGGGUGUACGUGUCAUAAAAUUCGACCCAUUGAUCAGAGCGAUUGUAAUAUUCUUCCAGAAAACCACGCGCCAUCGAUAUCUGAGGAAUAGAGGUGUAUAGCCGGGUGUAGUUGUAGAUUCAAAAGUUCAUUUCAAGAGCGAGAGUAAAAAGUCUUUUGCGAGUAACAAAGGUGGCAGGCAGUGCUAAUUUUAUAGUCUUGUGCUUUAUUGUAACCUUACUGAUCUGAAAAACGAAUA
rnacentral:lncRNA from 1 species